rnacentral:rRNA from 1 species
GUAGGUGGCAAGCGUUGUCCGGAAUUAUUGGGCGUAAAGCGCGCGCAGGCGGUUCUUUAAGUCUGAUGUGAAAGCCCACGGCUCAACCGUGGAGGGUCAUUGGAAACUGGAGAACUUGAGUACAGAAGAGGAAAGCGGAAUUCCACGUGUAGCGGUGAAAUGCGUAGAGAUGUGGAGGAACACCAGUGGCGAAGGCGGCUUUCUGGUCUGUAACUGACGCUGAGGCGCGAAAGCGUGGGGAGCAAACAGGAUUAGAUACCCGUGGUAGUCCACGCCGUAAACGAUGAGUGCUAAGUGUUAGGGGGUUUCCGCCCCCCUUAGUGCUGCAGCUAACGCAUUAAGCACUCCGCCGUGGGAGUACGGCCGCAAGGCUAG